GGAAAGACGCGACCACUCCCGGCACUCGCAUGGGAGCAAAUGGCGCCUGACUGCCGGCGGGAUAGGGCUUUAUAGAGGGGCGGGGCGAGAGGAUCCACGGCCUGCCGGCCAAUAGGGGCGGCUGCCGUGGCGGUGACGUCAUCAACAGCGACCAACCAGAGAACCCCGCAGGGGCGGGCACCGAGCCAGAGCGGGCUGAGCGGGACCGUGUGGCUCGGGGCGGCCAGCACGGGGUUUCCCGGGGCCGGACGGCAGGGUGGUUACAGGAGCGGCACAGGGAUACAUGGAAUUGCUCUUUCUACCAAGGCCUAGCACAGAGCUUUGCCAAGACACAGUGUGGCCAGCUAGAGGAAAGGAACAGGAACCAAAAUGUCUUCAUUUGCAAAGCGCUGGUGGCGCGAUCCAAGCCCAGCAGAGACCCUUUUGCAGAAUGGCAGCCAGUGACAGGCUGCGAGACUGAAAUGUUCUUCAAAGUUUCAAUCACCCAAGGUAAUAGUUUCAUCAGAGAAAGCAUUGAGGUUUUUUUGUCACUCAGUUCUUCACUUGAUCCUACAAAUCCUAAAAUCAGUAACCUUUCACCAAACUGUCUGUGAGAAGGAAAAGGUCAUAUCUGACAUGGAGGAAAUGGUGUUUUGAGGUAUAGUUUUUUUUUAGUCAACACUGAAAAGAAACAGCAAUUCACAGGCAAGGAAGUGUGAAUAAGCUUACAGCUAUACUGAUGAAGAAUAGUGGCCAUAAGAACUACAAGUCACAGUGCAUGAAGAUCACAGAAAGCAUCAGCAGGAUAAUCUAGAGAGCAUCAAAAAUGUAUUUAAGAUCUAGCCCCCAGUGCAUUUCUGGUGUAUGCAUGGGAUUUAGUACUAAGAUGACAAUUUGGUUUGCAUCAGAGCAGAGCCCUGGUAAAAACAAGAGUUAUGUUUCUAAAUAAAAGAUAUUUCUAUGUCUCAGAA